rfam:Lutzomyia longipalpis Contig25821, whole genome shotgun sequence.
GAAAUGGCUCUUUUCAGAGCCCCCAAAAUUAAUUUAUAAAGAAUUU